UACGGGGGGGUAAGCGUUGUUCGGAAUACUGGGCGUAAAGGGCUCGUAGGCGCCUUCUAAGUCGAACGUGAAAUCCCCGGGCUCAACCCGGGAACUGCGUCCGAUACUGGAAGGCUUGAAUCCGGGAGAGGGAUGCGGAAUUCCAGGUGUAGCGGUGAAAUGCGUAGAUAUCUGGAGGAACACCGGUGGCGAAGGCGGCAUCCUGGACCGGCAUUGACGCUGAGGCGCGAAAAGCCAGGGGAGCAAACGGG
rnacentral:rRNA from 1 species